rnacentral:tRNA from 1 species
GGUGAUUUAGUUUAGUGGUAGAACACAAGCUUGGCAUGCAUCAUGCAUGAUGCUCUAUGUUCAAUCCCCAGCACCA